GACGAACCGUGCAAACGUUGUUCGGAAUCACUGGGCUUAAAGGGCGCGUAGGCGGGCAAGCAAGUCGAAGGUGAAAUCCCACGGCUCAACCGUGGAAGUGCCCCCGAUACUGCUUGUCUUGAGGGAGAUAGGGGCGUGCGGAACUUCCGGUGGAGCGGUGAAAUGCGUAGAUAUCGGAAGGAACACCGGUGGCGAAAGCGGCGCGCUUGAUCUCUUCUGACGCUGAGGCGCGAAAGCCAGGGGAGCAAACGGG
rnacentral:rRNA from 1 species